CCGAGUGGCUCGGUGAAUCCCCGAUGCGAAUUGGGGAUGCCGGUUACCCGACCUCAUGUCAUUUUUGCUCCGGGCUGCGGGUGUCGUCGACUUGGUCCGCCGGGUGCGUGCGUGCGAGCGUGCGUGCGUGGCGGGGCGGUGGGCGAUGCCGGGGCCGGUAUGAGAACUUCGGCGGAAGGGUAGGCUUGAGACCUGCCCGCGCCGGCCGCAAAACGUCAACUCUUUGUGAGAACGAUGAAGUCUUUUUGUACAAACAAAAUUGAAAAAAAGCA
rnacentral:misc_RNA from 1 species